rnacentral:rRNA from 1 species
CCGCCUGUUUAUCCAAAAACAUCGCCUAUUGGGUUUUGUUUUGUUUUAUAAUAGGUGUUUUCUGCCCGGUGAAAUUUUUAACGGCCGCGGUACUUUGACCGUGCAAAGGUAGCAUAAUCAUUUGCUUCUUAAUUGGGGGCUUGUAUGAAAGAAAGAACGAAUGUCUGGCUGUCUCCUUUUGAGUAAAGAAUUUUCUUUUGUUGUGAAGAAGCAACAAUGCUAAAAAAAGACAAGAAGACCCUAUCGAGCUUUACUCUAGAGAUUAAAAGGGAUGCAGAAUAUUUGACUUAUACUGCAUAAAGUUUUAUGAGUUUCGUUGGGGUGACGAAAAAAGAGGAAAUCUUUUUUAGUAGUAAAACUUAUCUUGUUGAAGAAGGAGCGGUUUUUAGCCAUUGUUGGAAGAAGUUACCGUAGGGAUAACAGCGUAAUUUUUUUAGAGAGUUCAAAUCGAAAAAAAAGAUUGCGACCUCGAUGUUGACUUGUCAUCUCCUUUCGGUGCAGCUGCUGAAAGGGUUGGUCUGUUCGACCAUUAAAAUGGCACGUGAUCUGAGUUCAGACCGG